GCGGGCGUGGCGGAACCCGGCAGACGCGCGGGAUUUAGGAUCCCGUGGGGUAACCCGUGGGGGUUCAACUCCCUCCGCCCGCA
rnacentral:tRNA from 1 species